UACGGAGGGGGCCAGCGUUGUUCGGAAUCAUUGGGCGUAAAGGGCGCGUAGGCGGCCGAUCAAGUCCGACGUGAAAUCCCCCGGCUCAACCGGGGGCCUGCGUCGGAUACUGUUCGGCUCGAGUCCCGGAGAGGGUAGUGGAAUUCCCAGUGUAGCGGUGAAAUGCGUAGAUACUGGGAGGAACACCGGUGGCGAAGGCGGCUACCUGGACGGGUACUGACGCUGAGGCGCGAAAGCUAGGGGAGCAAACAGG
rnacentral:rRNA from 1 species